rnacentral:rRNA from 1 species
AUGUCAUAUGGAGGGCGAUUAAUUCUGAUUAAUUCGGUCCUCACCAGUAUGCCUAUGUUUCUUUUAUCCUUUUUUGAGGUCCCGGUGGGGGUCAGGAAGAGGUUAGAUUUUUAUCGAUCUCGAUUCUUUUGGCAGAAUGAUGAGUUGAAACGAAAGUAUAGGCUUGCAAAAUGGGACAUCGUCUGUAGGCCGAAGGACCAAGGCGGUCUAGGCAUUGAAAAUCUAGAGAUCAAGAAUAGAUGUCUCCUUAGCAAGUGGCUAUUUAAACUUUCGUCCGAGACAGAGGCUACUUGGGCUCAGUUUUUGCGAAAUAAGUAUUUUCAGUCUAAAACAUUGGCUCAGGUGACUGUGCGACCGACUGACUCACCGUUUUCGAAAGGGUUGAUGAGAGUCAUGCCCCUCUUCUUUAACAGGGCAAAGAUCUUAGUCGGUGAUGGGGCUAAUACAAGGUUCUGGGAGGAUACGUGGCUUGGGGAGACGCUCCUGGCACUUCAAUAUCCUACUUUGUACAACAUUGUUCAGAGUCGAGAAGCUUACGUUGCAACCGUCUUACAGUCCACACCCCUCAAUAUUAGCUUUCGGAGGACGCUGGUAGGCGAUCAUUGGGAGGCCUGGCUCCAUCUUGUACGAAGGCUGAUGGAUGUCCAGCUGUCUCAGCAGCCAGAUAGAUUGUACUGGAAACUGACUAAGGACGGCGUGUUCUCGGUCAAAUCCAUGUAUCUGGAUGUCAUAAACACUAGUGUCAUUCCUUGCUCGAAGCACGUCUGGAAAGUUAAGGUAUCUUUGCGAAUCAAAGUAUUUAUGUGGUUUGUGCAUAAACAAGUCAUUUUGACAAAGGAUAAUCUGGCAAAACGUAAUUGGAUGGGUUCUGCUAGGUGUAGUUUUUGUGAUCAUAACGAAACUAUCAGGCACCUCUUUCUAGAUUGUCCGCUGGCUAAGAUUCUUUGGCGUUCGAUUCAUAUUGCUUUUAAUAUUACUCCACCUACCUCUCUCAACAUGUUAUUUGGAACGUGA